GUCCCAGUUCGGAUUGCAGGCUGCAACCCGCCUGCAUGAAGUUGGAAUCGCUAGUAAUCGCGGAUCAGCAUGCCGCGGUGAAUACGUUCCCGGGCCUUGUACACACCGCCCGUCACACCAUGAGAGUCGGGAACACCCGAAGUCCGUAGUCUGACCGCAAGGGGGACGCGGCCGAAGGUGGGUUCGAUAAUUGGGGUGAAGUCGUAACAAGGUAGC
rnacentral:rRNA from 1 species